UAAGGAAUAUUGCUCAAUGGGAGAAAUCCUGAAGCAGCAACGCCGCGUGGAGGAUGAGGGGUCUAUGACUUGUAAACUCCUGUAAAGAAGGAAAAAAUUCCCAUUUGAUGGGAGAUGAUGGUACUUCUGGAGUAAGCCCCGGCUAACUACGUGCCAGCAGCCGCGGUAAUACGUAGGGGGCAAGCGUUGUCCGGAUUUACUGGGUGUAAAGGGUGCUCAGGCGGAUUUGUAAGUCAGAGGUGAAAUCUUACAGCUUAACUGUGAAACUGCCUUUGAUACUGCAAGCCUAGAGUAUGGAAGAGAGUGAUGGAAUAUCUGGUGUAGCAGUGAAAUGCGUAGAUAUCAGAUAGAACACCAAUGGCGAAGGCAGUCACUUGGUCCAUUACUGACGCUAAAGCACGAAAGCGUGGGUAGCAAACA
rnacentral:rRNA from 1 species